UGCACGCAUGUUGGAUCAUGCAUGAUUUAGUGGUUCGAAAUGUGUUGUUAUGCUGACAGAUCGUGGGAAUUGCGCUUUCUCUGCGAGCAGUUACCACACUCAGUAAACAGCAGUGGCUAGUGAAAGGAGAGCCCCAAUAUGGGGAAUGUUGGUUGCUACAAACCGUUUUCUUUGCAGAAAUCGACUUUCUCGAGAAACAUUUGACUCCAGAAAAGCUUUUCGUGAUGCAACUAUUAUACAAGACGACAGAGAGCUAAUGCUAUGGAUGUGUUCAACGUGAAUUAGCAAACUUUGGAUAGCACAAGGCAAAGACAAUCUUGUGAUGAGCAAUUGAGAAGCGGUGCCAUACCUUCAAGCAGUGUAUCAGGAUGUGUGAAGAAUAUUGGAAGGUGGAUCGGGGAAUGACAUGUCAAAGUACUCUCUAGCAAAAUCUAGCGACUGCUGUGACAUUUCUUACCAGAUUUAUGACGUUUGUUUACCAGUUUACAAUGCUGUAUACGCAUAACUCAAUCUUAACCAGUUAUAGUCAUUACCAGUUGGAUAUAACAGUGUACGCUCUAGAUGUUGAAGAAAGACUCAAAGUAACAUGAUAAUGUUUUGUGCUUGUA